rnacentral:rRNA from 1 species
CCUACGGGAGGCAGCAGUGGGGAAUAUUGCACAAUGGGGGAAACCCUGAUGCAGCGACGCCGCGUGAAGGAAGAAGUAUUUCGGUAUGUAAACUUCUAUCAGCAGGGAAGAAAAUGACGGUACCUGACUAAGAAGCCCCGGCUAACUACGUGCCAGCAGCAGCGGUAAUACGGAGGGGGCAAGCGUUAUCCGGAUUUACUGGGUGUAAAGGGAGCGUAGGCGGUUUAGCAAGUCAGAAGUGAAAGCCCGGGGCUCAACACCGGGACUGCUUUUGAAACUGUUGAACUAGAGUGCAGGAGAGGUAAGUGGAAUUCCUAGUGUAGCGGUGAAAUGCGUAGAUAUUAGGAGGAACACCAGUGGCGAAGGCGGCUUACUGGACUGUAAAUGACGCUGAGGCUCGAAAGCGUGGGGAGCGAACAGGAUUAGAUACCCCGGUAGUC